ACUAGCGGUAUACGUAUAAUUAUGUACAUUAUAUAUAUUGAAAUCCUAUAUGUUGCAAAGCGCCAAGAGAGCAAAUGAAAUAUCGAAAUUUCUGCACGGUACGAGUUCUGCAAAAACACGAGUAAUUCAAAUACAAUAUACGGAACUCAUUCUCACAUUUCCACUAAAAAUUAUUAGAUAUCCUCUUCUGCUGGCACGUGGCAUUAAAAAUAAUCGCAUGUUUUUUUUCUAUUUUUGUAACGAUUAAAACUGGGAUUUUAUUAUCAAAUUAACGUAAUUAAAUUUAUAUUAAAUUACUUUCUCGGAAUUCGAAUUUGUGCGUGUAAUUUUGUUACUUAUUGUGUGUGUGUGUGUGUAUUAAGUAACGAUUUAGUUGAUUGCAUAUAUACUAUAUUACAUGCUAUUGGCAAUGAAGACCAUAGUGAGAAUUUUUUUAUCUCGUUCGUAGAAUGCAGUUCGUAUUUGCCUGCACGUGUGCCGCGAUUGCGUGUAAUAUUCUCGCUGAGAAUGCAAUUUAUGAUUAUGAACCUCGUUGCAUUGCAGUUACGAUGUUAAUUGCACUCCCACUGCUGUUACACGCACAUUAUCCUCUGCUUUGUACGAUGCACUUCGAGAACUGUGCUUCUUAUUAAAAAUUUUGUAACUGGGUCGAAAACUGUCGUAAAUGGGUACAGCUGUCGCUGCUUUUCGAAGAGUUCGUCCUGCAAAUCGUUUUCAAACUUACGUCUCUUUCUUUAUCAAAUGAAUGUGGAGACAUACUUUCCUUGACGGAGACUUCUACGAUUACUUGGUGAAUAAAAUUUUUCAAUAUUACGCAAUUUUAAAAUAGUAGUAUUUUUAUCAGACCUGCUUUAAACAUGUUUGAAAACAUAUCGUGAGUUCUCAUAUAUAGAGCUUUUUAUCUCUUUUAUUUUCAUUUCAUCUAUCGAUGUCUCGGAAGAAAUAGCUCUAUCAUUCUUCAUACGCGCAGAAAUAACGACCUGCUUCUCAGAGCCGUGGGGAACGAUUGCUGAAAUUUACAUAUCUGGCCUGAAAAUUCUCCAGAGAAUCUGAAACUUGUGAAUUGUGGAGUGUCUCGGGUUUCAAAGACCAUUAAAGUGACAAAGAAUGUCUGUCUAUAGAAUUUAAUUAAUUCUUUAAAUUACUCGGUUUUAGGUCAUUCUCAGGUCUCCUAAUUGCGUCAAUUUUUAUUUAUUUAUUUAAAUUGAUCAAUAACCAGUUGAACGGUUUACAGAGUACAUUUCGCUUAAAUAUAAAAUUUAAUAAAUAAAACGGAAUCUGUUGAUAUUUUUUCGAUGCAAUUCAUAAAUAGUCAACUAAGUGAAUAAACGUUCCAAUGAUUAUUAAUUGCUGUAAAUCAAAAUUUAUCAAUUAUUCAUCCAAAUCCAUCUGUUCGUUGUAAUCAUGCCUCACCUAUUGCGGUAGUUUUCAAUUACAUCAAAUAAUUAACAAGCUCCAUCAAUUCUCCAAAUGAUCGCCCCUGCAAAUGCAGGAAAUUAAUUCAGCCAUCGCUUUAAACAGAUUUCACUGCAAUGCUAAACGAAUUACUUCAUCUUGCUACGGCAGACACGGUAUAUUACGCAUCUAAUAUCUACCGCGCUUUAGCUAUUUGUUCUUGAAAAUCACGUGUGAUUCCAUUACGACAUUCCAUCUCUGCGCGAAUUGUCGGAAGGUAGAGUCAACCCCUCGGAUUCGCACAUUCCUCUGCUGCUUCUCACCUCGUCGAACGCGCUCAUAUAUGACUUUUUAAUGCACCUCCACAAAACAUGCGCGUCCUCGCGCACUUUCAAUUUCCUGACAGUGCCAUAUAUAUAUCUCAAUGUCAGUUGGAAAUGGAUUCCGCGGGGAGUGCAUCCGUUCCGCAUCACCGCAUACGCUGCGUUUACGUGGUAUACCGCGGCGUCAUAUUUUCCGUCUAAUAUCGCACAGACGUGCAACGUGCACCUAUAUGUACAGUUACGUCUCAUUGACGACAGACAAUACGUUCCACCCCGAUCGAUUAUACGCUUUGAUGAACGAUUCUCGAGACGCCAUCGAAACGCGAGUGCACAGGAAGCGUUUCUCCGAACUGACAUUGGCGUUCUCACAAAUCAUAGAUGUUAAUCGCAUUAUAAUCAAGAUAUAUUACACGUGUGUUAUAAACGCACACACCAAACUUCAAUGAUCUUCUAUGAAAUUCAUGUUAUACGUAAAAUAUAAAAUUUUAAUUAAUUUAAUUUUCGAUAAUUUAAUCGAGUUAUCGUUGAAAACACAUCGUUAAUAGAAAAUUACGGAAUAUUAUUUUAUGGUGUGAAACAUAAAAUCAAUGUUUCAUAACAUUAUUUACAUUUUUUCUAUAUAUCACGUGCGGCGCAGUAAUCGAUCGCAUACAUAAUUGCAGAUUGUCAUAUAUUGCAUACACUAUAAUAAUGUGUAUACAUUUCAAUAAAAAAUUCAAAUUUACACAAUAUAUUUAUAUUAAGAUGCUCGAGCUAUUGUUUAGUUUUGAUGACAACAUCGAUGUGUUUAAUUUAUUUCUUCAGCUAAUCAAAUUAUAGAUAUUUCGGGAAAAAAUAAAAAUGCAUUAUUGACAAAGAGAAAGUUGACUAACAAUAAGUGUAAAAAAUUGUCAAUUUUUGCUACCGGAAAGAUAUUUUUAAAAACAUUUCAGAGAAAUAUAUUUAAUAAAUAAUAAAGGAACAUAGAGUUUAAUAUCCGAUACUUUUUUCGCACAAACUUUCAAUUUGCCAUUCGAAAGUCUCGUAUAUGCAAGACAGAUGAUAGAAUUGCCCGAAAACGGGAUCAAAACGGCGCAACGCAUUUAACCAAUGCGGGCUACGUCCAGACAGCGCUGUCGACUACUGCCGUUACGUUUUACGGAUCGAUGAAUUUUUCAUUAAUACACGCUCAUUGGCGGAUUUUACUCAAAAUUUUAUUUCCCCCGGGAUGAAGCUCUUCAUCGGCAGUAAAAGUACGCGUAGGCGCUGAGAAACCGAAACCGAACUGUAAUGACGAGAUCUAUACAUAACGUCAUAAAAGAACGUCAAUGCGCAUUAUGCAAUGUAGAGGGAGAUCCCUCGAAUCGCGGUUUAUCAUAUAUUUCCAGCUAACCGCUUAUCUGUAUCCGUGUAUUACGAGGUCACAAUGAAACACGUAUUAUCAUAAUCAUGAAAGAUUCGUAUUGCGGACUGACGAGCAUAUUACGAGACAUCUUAAGCAUGAACAGCAUUAUCCGCUUAUUUUUCAUGAAACAUAAUAACGAUCACGAUAUCAGAGUUCCGCGAAUGUAUUUUCCAUUUAAGCGGUAGACGAAAUAAAAGUGUUUCAUGGCUUACCUCGUUACGAUUCGUUUCAUGCGAACAAAACUCGAGGCAUUGUUAUCACAUCCUCCCAGAAUAGAAAUUAAAUUCUCGCGGAACAAUCGCUAAAUUUCCUGAGAAAGUUUCGCCCCGUGAUUUCUAAUGAACUUUUCGACAUUUUUCACUUUUUCAUUGCGCCUUAUCAUUAACAAACUAAAAAUGUAUAGUAAUUUUACAUGCUAAAUUAAGUACUUUUAGAAAACAUAAUAUUACAUUUUACUAAGUUAAGACCAAAAAGGAAAAGUAUAAAUGUUUUAAAUUUAAUGCACAAAUUUUUGCCUUUAGAUUAUUGUAAAUUUUAAUGUUAUCGAAGAACAUUUUUCUUAAUGUAUGGAAAAAUGUAUCCGGAUAUUUGAAUUCUAUGCCAAAUAGAUAGUUUUUUCGAUAAGUUGAAAACGGAGCUCAAAUUCAAAGAAGCAUUCGGCACGUGCAUAAUCUAAACCACCUCUCGAAUAGCCAUAUACCGUAACGAGAUCAGCUGCGGAAAGUCGGAUUUCCGGCGACUUCACGCUACGUGAUAAACAGCGUAACCUUUCGCUGAGGUAAUCGCAACGAUUUCCGUCAAAUCGUUUUUUUCGCGCGCUACAGUUAUCCUUGCCAAAAGACCAACGGGCAUGGAAUACCAGACCAAUCUGGUCUCGCAUAAAAAUGCAAAUGAUCACGUCUCUCUUAUCCGUAUAUGGCUAAUAAAUGCGGCAUGUCAUCAUCGGACCUAAUGGUUAAAAAAAAAAGGAAAGAAAAAGUAAAAAUAGCUCUCGCAGAACGAAAUUUAAUGGAAUCUCGCGCGCGCUUAAUGACAUUUUUAUGCGCAACAAAAGGACGAUGUAUCUUUGACAUCACGCCAAAAUUGUCGAGAAAUUCUGCCGUGCAGUGCGACAUGUCGAUAAUUUUAUCGUUUAAUCUCAGAUUGCACUGAGAAAUUCUCUAUUGAUAGCGGGCGCAGAAGCGUUGUCUAACCGGCUGUUUAAUUACGUAGAUAAGUACAGUCGCGGAAAAGGGAUACUUGCGUGUGUACGAUCCUGUGAUCGAACGUGAUGAGCAUUCAGCGUGCUCGAUUUACCGUAACAAUCCCGAAAUUUUCGCCGUGAAUGUAUUAACGCGCGCGAAAUAGUUAUUCAACGAUAAAUGCGGGCGAACAAAAUUAUUUAAUGAUAAUUACCAUAAUUCUUGAUAAUUAGUAUAAUUAUCAGUACAGAUACAUGUCAAAGAUACAUCUCAUUCACCACAUCGACAAUAACACAGUUGUUAUUUUAAUGUAAAUGUGACAUAUUUAUUUAUUAUCUGCAUAUAUAGAAACGUUACUUAACGUAGCUUCUCAUAUAAAAGUUUGUCAUAUAAUAUGCAUCAUAUUAAUAAAUCGUACCAAAGAAAUUUAACGAGGCAGAACUCAGUACCUAUUAGACAUAAUUUCAUCGCUCUAAUUAAGCGUUGACGUCAACCUGGGCAAGUAUCGAGAUAAUACAAAUAAAAUUAGAACAAAAAAGUUACCUCAUGUGACCUCAUAUGCUUUGCCAAAAUCCACAUUAUUCUCACGUGCCGUAUAAUCUAUUUUCAUUUUCUUCUAUAUCACACGAGACAGUUGAAAUUAACCGAAAGAAACUUGAAAUUACUACUAAUUUGCACUUUGAUAAAGUGCAACUGAUUAUGUAGUUCAACAGUUUAAAUUGGAAUAAAGUUAUUAACGUUAAUUAACUAAUGUUAACAACUUUAUCCUAGUUUAAUAGCUGUUUAAUAACCGUUUUAAAUAAUAUAGUUUAAUAACUCAAUUAAAACACAGGUUAACAAUUUGAAUUAAAUGAGCCACUAUCAGAAAAUUGGACGUUGAGAUUUUUUGUAAUAGAAGCCAUUCAUAUUUACGAUAUAGACUAUCCAUCGUGUCUGGUUUAAUCAGACAAGGCAGACAAGUUGGCUCGUGUGAGGCAGUCGUCAGUGCCAAAAGACUAAGCAAUCUCUCUCUUUCUCUCUCUCUCUCUGUCUCUUUCUCCGGAGCCACGCAAUGUGAUCACCGGUUGCUGGAGGGGUGGGGGGGCUCAGACACGGCAGCUGUUUGCUCGUCGUGGAACGGAUCAGGGGGUCGUGCUGGCAUGUGUAACCCGCCAGUAAUGCCGCAUCGCUGGCGUUUGCAGCUCGCGCGAGCAACGCAGCGCGGGACUCUGACAUGUCGUUACGAUUUUUGCCAUUUUUCCAAGGUCGCAGUCGUGCGAGAAAAAGAUAAUUGUCAAGUGAAAUCGUGAAAGUGCCGCGUGUCGGGCCGUGGGACGCUGGAAAAAUCGGCCCCUCCGAGAGCGCUUCAAGCCGGUAGGUUCGGAGCACAGCAACGGGCGUGCUUUAAUACAGCAGCAACGGUUGGAAAAAGUGCGCGCGCACACUGACGCGCUUUCGGAGCAGCCUGUGGACCAGUCCGUCGGUAAAUCUCCAAAAAUCGAUCUCGGCCCUGUACACGACAUCUCGUCACGUGUGUUGAACGUUUACAGUUCGAUCGUGUGUGAUUGGGAAUGAAUUGGAUCGCCACUUUGUUCUCCUAAGUAAAUGGCCGGCGACAAUAUUCAAACGGCAAACUGCGAACAGACGGUGAAUGAUGAUAUUCGAGUGAUAUUAUAUAGUGAAAGAAUUUCCAAAAUGAUAAAUCCGUAACGAGAGUUCAUCAGUGAUCAAGAAUUUCCAAAUGACGAGUCGAUAACGAAGACUACGUAGUGAUUACAAAUUUUUAUUAGUGAUUAAUAGCGAUUUUUUUUUAUUACGUGAAGCAUAUCGUUUAUCGAUAUAUGUACAUAUAUAAAAUAUCCAAGUUAUGGAUAUUUAUACGGAAGCAAUGAAUCGUCAUAGCGAGGUCUACGACAAUUGGACGAAAAUCGUGAGGACUCUAACGAAUGCAUCCAAGUGGCGUCCAAGAGACGACGCUAUCCUCGCCUACUCGCGUGGAAAUAUCACUCUCGACGUCGCGCUUAGAAACGGGUCCAGCCACAUGGAAUUCGCUCUGUGAUAGUCAGCUUUAUUUCCUGCCAAAGAAUUGCUUUAUGGAUGAAAAAUCGCACAUUUUUAAGCUUUAUCCUACCAAAGAGAAGCAGUAACGUGCCUUAUUGUCCGCAGUAAUAAUACAUGUUACCAGUAAUUUAUAAAACGAGCAAUAUGCGAAAAGCGAUCUCAUCGCAUUGAGAACAUUCAGGCGUAUCGCAACUCUCAAAAGGAUCGCAUAUCUCGAUAGGACAUGUUAUAUUAAGCGAAAUAUAUUGAGCGAUCCUCAGAUGAAAUUUCGCAAAUCCGUCUCAUCUAGCCCGAAGAUGGAACUACUCUCAAGACGUUCCUCUGACGGCAGGAUGUCGACCUUGAAGAGAUCGAGAUCCUUCCGAGCGUCUGUGAAACUGAUGUCAAAGAUACGCGAUCGUGCCAAUCUGCGAUUGACCGCUGGCUUCGAUCUCUCGUCCGUCUCGAAAGAUCUCAUCGUCAAGAAAGGCUGCAACCUCCCUGUUGUUGAAGAACCUCAGAACGGUGAAAGAUCCUCGAACCUACGAAAAGAUUUCGAGGAGGUUGCGAAUUCUUGCGUCAAGAACAAAAUCAGUGACGAGGCAGCAUCCCCGAGUCCUCGGAAGAUCUCGGUGUCAAAUCUCGAUGCCGACCCGCGAGAAAUUACAAAAGAUCUGAAGAGUAAGCUCUCUCUGACCGACAGACUAAUGGGCAAGGGCCGCAAGGACGUAGUGGAGAGACCCUCGACGAAAGACGAAGGUGUGAAAUCACCGAAGGUCAGUCACAUUUUUCGCAGGAGACGCAGCACGGAGAGUUCGCAGGAAAAUACUCGAAAGAAGGAUUGUAGCGACAAGCAUGCGUCCUGCGAGACAGACACGGGUCGAUCGAAUAAACAUGUAUCUUAUGAGAACCCUACAUUUGUGUUAGACAAUUCCUUGGACUCCUCCGUCUCGAGCUUCCUCUUUGAAGUCGAAGAGAAAGAGGAGGAGGAGGAGGAGGAGGAGGAGGAGGAGGAGGAAGAGGAGGAGAAGACGAAACAACGACAGGAACAAGAUGGCGAAAAUGAGCGCGCUGUGUCAACUAAGCGCGAUGUCUUGACUGUCGUCGUGGAUUCUCACAAAGCCACAACUAACCGGCUCCUAUAUCGUAAAACAAACUACGAGCCAGGUAAGAGCGAGGACGAAGAAUACCUCGAGAAGGAAGAGUCGCAAAACGCAUUUCGUCCCCGAUGCGAGACUGAUCCUUUAAGACGUCCUUGCGAAGUGAGGAAAAACGAGGAUUCGCAAGCGAACAUGAUAAACGGAAAUCGAAGAACGACUGAAUCUUUCGGCGAAUUUGAUCGACCAAGAAUUAAAUUUUAUUGCAAGAUGCACGAGACCGAAAGAAAAAAUGCAACAAUCUGCCUGCAGAAUCAGAAAAUGUACGACAACAUCAAGACGUGUCCUUCAAAAUCUUGUAAAAUCAGAACAGUCGAUAAUAUUGCCAACUUUUGGUCAAGUAAACGUGGUAACAGUUUUCGAAAUAAAAUGGCAACCAGUAGGAAAAAAGAUGCGAAGGACACGAGGGAUUACGAGCGGCUUGGUCAGGAGCGAAUUUUCAUGUCAACAUCAUCGGGAUUAAAGUUCCACUCGUUGCAAGGGAUGGAGUUCCUGGAAGGUUUCGGCAAGAAGAAACAACAAUCCAACCAGCAACUAAAUAAUUUAUCAUCGAUACAUAUCAAUCCUCUCUCGGCCCAAUCCCUCAACAUACACCUGCAUGCUUUAUUUGCGGCUGUGGAACAUGGUCACUUGGAUAAAGCGAGGACUAUUUUGGAGUCUACUGAUGUGGACAUAAAUAGCGUUAACAGCGACGGCUUGUCACCGCUGGACGUUGCUGUGCUUAGCAACAACAGGCCGUUGGCAAAAAUGCUGGUUGCGUUCGGCGCGCAGGAAGGGAAUCAAUUCAAGUCUCCGGAAUCUCUGGGUAGCCAUUUGGCGUCAUUGCUUUCGGAAGCGGAACACAGAGUUCAAGAGCUCGGUGGCAGUACUUCCGGUAGCGGAGGAACAACCCUAUUGGAACCACCCAGCAGUCAUAGGGCCAGUUUUUCCACGCAACAUAACAACCUCACGGGAUGUGGUGGUAACACGGAGGAUAAGCAACUUGCCCUGUGGGAAAGGAGAGCCAGAGCUCUCAGAAAAAUGUUACUGGGUUUCGACCAAGCGCGCCCACCCGACAUACCUUUCUUAGUCGCGAUCGAUGUCACGGGAACAACAUCGGUAACAGUCAGAUUUCAAGAGCCAGAUUCGCACGACUCUCCGAUCUGCACUAAAUUCAAAGUCCAAUGGAGUCUGCACGAUGAUUUUUCAGUUAUUUGCGAUGAGAGGGAAGUCCUAGACAUGAAGCAGAGAGAAUGUCGGAUCGAAGGUCUAACUCAAGGUCAGAAAUAUCAUUUUCGCGCCGCCGCCGGAAAUUUGAAAGGCUACAGCAGAUUCAGAAACUCAACACCCGCACAUGUUACACCUAGCAGUUGGAGGGAUAUAGACGGCAGGGUGCCCAGAUUUGCGGGACGACUGGAACAGCUCAACACUCUGUUCACCGACAUAAGGCGACCGGAAUAUACGCAAGAAACGCCGGCGGUGCAGAGGCGAAAUCACAAAAAGAAAACAACGAUAAAACAGCUCUUCACGGCGACGAGUAAAUUCCAGAAAAAUCUCAGGCGAGGAGUGUUUCUAGCGUGCCUACUCUAUCACGAGGACAAGGUUCUUGUUACAAACGAGGACUUCUUACCAGUGAUCGAGAUCGAUGAGACGUAUCCCAGUUGUAUCUACAACGAUUUUCAUUGGCUCAUGAAAGUCGCCUGUACCUGGGACGACGUUAAAUCCCUUCGGCAGGAUAUGGAAAAGAGUCAUAGCAGCUCAACGAACCAUUUUAGGAUAAAGUUACUUCAAGCUGCUGCUCAAAUGCAGGCUGCAUUGUGCAUACAAGACCUUGGACAGUUAUAUCAUAAACCUAUCAGAGACAUUCAAGGGACCUUAGUAUUCUCUACUGUAAAUUAUAUAAAGUCGCCGAAAUUGGUUUCUGUAUUAAACAGCAGGUGGUUGCCGCUCAGUAAAGUCAUAAAAAAGGUCAUAACGCACGAAGAUAGCAACGUCGCUGAUAUAUUGAUGACUAGUAUACAAGAACAAAUGACAUAUCACCAAGUCAGCAGUAUCAAACUAUCCAAGGGUUUAUAUCUCGGUUAUUUGAAAAUGCAAAGUAGCGUGGAUCUCAUACAAGUCGUUGUUCCCACGAAAUCUCCAAACGUAUUGCCACAUUGUAAAAUUCGCGACAAUCCGCACGUGUCAGCGGAGGAAUGGGACUAUCUAAAGAGAAUAACGCGCAUUUGUACGUCCGAGGCUUCCGUGGAGGAAUCCGAAGAGAAGGAGAAUGUGACGAAUGAGGCGCAAGGCACGGAACAACAGAAGCUAUUUGUCGAUCUGGUCGCCGCGACGGCACGACGACUGUUCAAUUACAUGGAAAUCACUCCCGAGGAUUCACUUGUCCAGCGGUUAUACGACGCUGAGGUGAUCGAUCUGACUCAUGACGUGUCGUUUCUUAUUACUGUGCCACCCGCCGAAACCGCCUGCUGCGUGCCUGGCACGCGAGAAAUCUUACUACAGCGCGGUGAUCUCCUGUCAUUGCCGAUUCAAGUCUUCGAGAUGGUUCAUUUGAAUACGUAUCAGAAAGACGUGAUCAAUCGUUACUCGAGACUCAGCUGUAUAUUGGAACUGGACACCGCACAGGCCCAGCAUAAUCAUAGAGAAGCCUUUAGUUCCUUGGAGCUGAGCGUCGCCAAGGACAAACUGGCAAGAUUGCAAGACCUUCAGUCGCAAGUGAACACUGUGUGGAAAGGCGCCCGAUGGUUGAUCGACGUUAUAACUUUCGCGAGAGAUCGCGGUUCAUCCCAACAAAACAUUGCAUCGCAAACCAUUGGCAUAUCUAUGAAGCAUCUGCUAAGUCUGGACAGAAAUAAAAACAGCAACAGUAACAGCUUGAAACGAAGUUUAUUACAAUUACCACCUAGAGAUCCUAAACUCGUGAAAUCGAGUCCCGGGCGUGGUAGCUGGCCCGGUCCUAAUCUAUCGAAAUCGUCCUCGAAUCUUCUUACGACAGAAUUCAGCAAAAGCGAGCAACAACUGCCCAGUGGUCAAUACGUGCGCAAAGGAAGCAACACCUCGAACGUGUCGACAACUUCGGAGCCGCCGAAAUCGUGCGCACCGAUAAGCAGCGGUAGCAAUUUGAGCAAUCUGACGACUACCAGCAGUGCGAAUCAUCUGAUACCGUUACAGAAUGUGAGAUUGCCACCCUCCAAAUCCGAAGAUACCUUGAUUCUCGCCAAGUACAAACACAGUCCGCGAAAUCGUUCCUCUACGAUAACGUCGGCAUCGGCUACCACUAGUCCAUUACUGAGUAUUAAGCCCAUGAAUUAUAGCGGUUCAUUAUUGAGUGUCUCUACGGCGAUGACAAACACCACGAGUCUGCUUAGUGUGAGCAACACAAAUUCCGACAGUCUGCACUCGCUGAGCAGCGACGAAUAUUCCGCAACAAAUUCAAACGCCUGUUUGAAACCUGGUCAACCAGUCAAAGUUAAAACGUCUAAACCGACUGCGAGCGUCGCGGCGAUGGCUGCCGUUCCGACGGAUAACUUAGAUGAGGAGAAGGAAGAAGCGACAAUGAUGCCGGCACCUCUGCCAGGCAUUCUUCAGGGAACACAAGUCUAACCUGAUUAUAAUUAAAAGCUCACUUGGUCCUCUAGUGCAAACUGAUGUAGUGGAUAUAUUGAGUUUACGCGGCUUACGAGACUGGUUUGGCAGCUGGUACCAGUUUAAAGCUGCACGUAACACCGAGGACUACGGCACGGGAAGUCGUGGAUCUUGUUGUUAAGCAAUUAAAUAUGGCAGUGGUUUUAAAAGGACAAAAAGGGC
rnacentral:misc_RNA from 1 species